rnacentral:rRNA from 1 species
AAGACCUUGCGCUUUUGGAGCGGCCGAUGCCUGAUUAGCUUGUUGGUAAGGUAAAAGCUUACCAAGGCUUCGAUCAGUAGCUGGUCUGAGAGGACGACCAGCCACACUGGGACUGAGACACGGCCCAGACUCCUACGGGAGGCAGCAGUGGGGAAUUUUGGACAAUGGGGGCAACCCUGAUCCAGCCAUGCCGCGUGAGUGAAGAAGGCCUUCGGGUUGUAAAGCUCUUUCAGCCGGAACGAAACGGUUACGGUUAAUACCCGUGAUUACUGACGGUACCGGAAGAAGAAGCACCGGCUAACUACGUGCCGGCAGCCGCGGUAAUACGUAGGGUGCGAGCGUUAAUCGGAAUUACUGGGCGUAAAGCGUGCGCAGGUGGUUUUGUAAGUCAGAUGUGAAAGCCCCGGGCUCAACCUGGGAACU